UUUCCGGUUGAUCCCGCCGGACCUGACUGCUAUCGGAUUGAUACUAAGCCAUGCGAGUCUUUGCAGUAAUGCAAGGCAUACGGCUCAGUAACACGUAGUCAACUUACCCUAUGGACGAGGAUAAUCUCGGGAAACUGAGCAUAAUACUCGAUAGAUCAUAAUGCCUGGAAUGGUUUAUGGUUGAAAUGAUUCGUCGCCAUAGGAUGGGACUGCGGCCUAUCAGCUUGUUGGUGAGGUAAUGGCCCACCAAGGCGAUUACAGGUACGGGCUCUGAGAGGAGAAGCCCGGAGAUGGGUACUGAGACAAGGACCCAGGCCCUAUGGGGCGCAGCAGGCGAGAAAACUUUGCAAUGUGCGAAAGCACGACAAGGUUAAUCCGAGUGAUUUCUGCUAAAGAAAUCUUUUGCAAGUCAUAAAACCACUAGUGAAUAAGGGGUGGGCAAGUUCUGGUGUCAGCCGCCGCGGUAAAACCAGCACCUCAAGUGGUCAGGAGGAUUAUUGGGCCUAAAGCAUCCGUAGCCGGCUCUGUAAGUUUUCGGUUAAAUCCAUGUGCUCAACGCAUGGGCUGCCGAAAAUACUGCAUAGCUAGGGAGUGGGAGAGGUAGACGGUACUCGGUAGGAAGGGGUAAAAUCCUUUGAUCUAUCGAUGACCACCUGUGGCGAAGGCGGUCUACCAGAACACGUUCGACGGUGAGGGAUGAAAGCUGGGGGAGCAAACCGGAUUAGAUACCCGGGUAGUCCCAGCUGUAAACGAUGCAGACUCGAUGAUGCAUUGGCAUAUAGCCAGUGCAGUGUCGCAGGGAAGCCGUUAAGUCUGCCGCCUGGGAAGUACGUACGCAAGUAUGAAACUUAAAGGAAUUGGCGGGGGAGCACCACAAGGGGUGAAGCCUGCGGUUCAAUUGGAUUCAACGCCGGA
rnacentral:rRNA from 1 species